UCUGUGGUGACCAGCUACGUUUGGCAGCAGGCUCGGGUGCCCACAACUGCACAGAGCAAGAAGCGUUUGAAACAGUGAUGUUCCAGUUUAAAAGGACAGAGCUGCAAACAGAGGAGAACAUCGCAGUGGGAAAAACUGAAUUAGGAAUGUCAAGAACUGAGUUGUAGCCCCUGCUAAUUCAUUCAUUCAUUCACUCCUUUGUUCAUUUCCCUGCCUUAGGACCCAGAACGAAUAUACAUUUUGAAGUUAGAACAAACUGGGUUGAAACAAUGCUCCAUCUUCAGCUAUGUGACUGUGGGG